rnacentral:pre_miRNA from 1 species
AGCAAAUUUCAUCCAUUUCUACUGUUAAAAGUUGGCAUUGCUGGCAAAAUAAUCAAACAGUUAGAUGUGGCGUGCCACGUAUACCUCAUUCUGACAUACAAUGACCAAUUUUUAAUAAUAAAAAUAGAUAGAAUUUUUAACA